rnacentral:rRNA from 1 species
UACGUAGGGCGCAAGCGUUGUCCGGAAUCAUUGGGCGUAAAGAGCUCGUAGGCGGCCUGUUGCGUCCGCUGUGAAAUCCCGGGGCUUAACCCCGGGCGUGCAGUGGAUACGGGCUGGCUGGAGGCAGGCAGGGGAGAACGGAAUUCCCGGUGUAGCGGUGAAAUGCGCAGAUAUCGGGAGGAACACCGGUGGCGAAGGCGGUUCUCUGGGCCUGUACUGACGCUGAGGAGUGAAAGCGUGGGGAGCGAACAGG